rnacentral:rRNA from 1 species
UACGGAGGGUGCAAGCGUUAAUUGGAAUCACUGGGCGUAAAGCGCACGUAGGCGGAUUUUUAAGUCAGGGGUGAAAUCCCGAGGCUCAACCUCGGAACUGCCUUUGAUACUGGAGAUCUUGAGUCCGGAAGAGGUAAGUGGAACUGCGAGUGUAGAGGUGAAAUUCGUAGAUAUUCGCAAGAACACCAGUGGCGAAGGCGGCUUACUGGUCCGGAACUGACGCUGAGGUGCGAAAGCGUGGGGAGCAAACAGG